rnacentral:rRNA from 1 species
AGAGUUUGAUCCUGGCUCAGAUUGAACGCUGGCGGCAGGCCUAACACAUGCAAGUCGAGCGGAUGAAGGGAGCUUGCUCCCGGAUUCAGCGGCGGACGGGUGAGUAAUGCCUAGGAAUCUGCCUGGUAGUGGGGGACAACGUUCCGAAAGGAGCGCUAAUACCGCAUACGUCCUACGGGAGAAAGUGGGGGAUCUUCGGACCUCACGCUAUCAGAUGAGCCUAGGUCGGAUUAGCUAGUAGGUGGGGUAAUGGCUCACCUAGGCGACGAUCCGUAACUGGUCUGAGAGGAUGAUCAGUCACACUGGAACUGAGACACGGUCCAGACUCCUACGGGAGGCAGCAGUGGGGAAUAUUGGACAAUGGGCGAAAGCCUGAUCCAGCCAUGCCGCGUGUGUGAAGAAGGUCUUCGGAUUGUAAAGCACUUUAAGUUGGGAGGAAGGGCAGUAAGUUAAUACCUUGCUGUUUUGAC